GCCACCCUGCCUCCCCCAAAAAGGCCAGAAGAAGGGCAGACGGAAGGAAGAGGGAAGAAAGAAAAGCAGGGAAGAAGGAUCGAGGGACACGCAGAAGAAUGUGUCUGCUGCUCCAAAUGUGGCACCGUUUAAGCUCCCGUUAAAUGAUUGUUCUGUUUCUUCUGGUUCUUGGAGGGACGGGAGACAUUCAUCCUCUUUUGACUGUCCCUGUUGACUUUCCUGUGUUUCUCCAACCUGCUUCUCUGGGUGCUGUGAGUGCUGUGUCAGAUCCCUCAGGCAAAGGCUCCUUCUCAGAAGCUGCUGACUUUCGCCAAAUCAGCAUCAAAUCACAGCUGCCC